rfam:Triticum aestivum genome assembly, contig: Triticum_aestivum_CS42_TGACv1_scaffold_433156_5DL
UAUCUACUCCCUCCGUUCCAUAAUACAUGCCUUUCAUUUGUCAAAAUAUAGAUGUAUCUAGACAUGUUUUAGUAUAUAGGUACAUCCAUUUUUAGACAAAUGAAAAUCAAGUAUUUUGAAACGAAAGGAGUAAUAC